rnacentral:rRNA from 1 species
GAUGAACGCUGGCGGCGUGCCUAACACAUGCAAGUCGAACGGAUUUUACUCGCUGCAGAGACUUCGGUCAAAGCUUGAGUAAAGUUAGUGGCGGACGGGUGAGUAACGCGUGGGCAACCUGCCUCAUACUGGGGGAUAACAGUUGGAAACGACUGUUAAUACCGCAUAAGCGCACGGUGUCGCAUGACACAGUGUGAAAAACUCCGGUGGUAUGAGAUGGGCCCGCGUCAGAUUAGCUAGUUGGUGAGGUAACGGCUCACCAAGGCGACGAUCUGUAGCCGGACUGAGAGGUCGGACGGCCACAUUGGGACUGAGACACGGCCCAAACUCC